rnacentral:sRNA from 1 species
UAGAGGUGUCAGAAAAGUUACCA